UAAACKACUCUCGGCAACGGAUAUCUCGGCUCUCGCAUCGAUGAAGAACGUAGCGAAAUGCGAUACUUGGUGUGAAUUGCAGAAUCCCGUGAACCAUCGAGUCUUUGAACGCAAGUUGCKCCCGAAGCCUUCUGGCUGAGGGCACGCCUGCCUGGGCGUCACGCA
rnacentral:rRNA from 1 species